AUUAAGAUGGCAGAGCCCGGAUAACUGCAGAAGGCCUAAGACUUUCCCACAGAGGUUCAAGUCCUCUUCUUAAUU
rnacentral:tRNA from 1 species